CAGUGAAAAGGAAAAGAAGGAGAGGAAAUGUGAGAGAAGUCGCGGUGACGAAACACCAGAAAUUACGUGUUCUCCAUCUCCAUGCGUUUUUGACCCCGUUGAUGAAGAAAGACUCGAAGAAAGACAAUCAGCACUUCGCCUUCUCCUCUUCCAAGACUGAACUGCAACCUCAAACGGAAUAUUUGUCUUUAGUGAUGAAUCCAAUUCUCUUUGGGCAUGCUUGGGUGAAAAGUUCACAUCAUGAGAGACGAGAUCAUCAAUUGUUUAUAGAAAGUCAUGUACACCACAAUGUUGCUAUUAUGGUAUGGGAGGCUAUAAUUUAUGUAGGUACGGAAACAUAACAUCAUUUGGUGUUCAUCAAAAGCAACAUGAACGCCGUGAGUUACAUCCAGAAGGUGGUGUUAUACCUUGUACGCUCACCAACCAAUUUUUCCAACAAGAUAAUUCCCGACAACAUACUGCUAGAAUUAAGUUGGCCCAAAGAAGUAGCCUUGCCCCAUAGAAUUGUCAAUAUUUCACCUAUUGAAUACGUCGGAGUCAUCAUGGGAAGAAGAGUACUUAGUCUUCGCCAUCAUCCACCGACUCAAGCGGCACGUGGUUCUAGUAGCCUGGGAUGAAAUCGAUCAUCUCAUUAGGAGUAUGACCAGACGUGUUUCUGAGUAAAUAAGACAACGCAUUACUAAUUUUUUACAAUUUGUUUACGUUUCAUGUUCAUAAAACUUUUAUGAAUUACCAUACCAACCCAAAGAGGCAUGUAUCAAAAAAAAUUGUUUUAAUAAAUUUAUUUUUAUUGA